UACGAAGGGUGCAAACGUUGCUCGGAAUUACUGGGCGUAAAGCGUAUGCAGGCGGAUCGUUAAGUCGGGGGUGAAAUCCCGAGGCUCAACCUCGGAACUGCCUUCGAUACUGGCGAUCUUCGAGUCCGGGAGAGGUGAGUGGAACUCCGAGUGUAGAGGUGAAAUUCGUAGAUAUUCGGAAGAACACCAGUGGCGAAGGCGGCUCACUGGCCCGGUACUGACGCUGAGAUACGAAAGCGUGGGGAGCAAACAGG
rnacentral:rRNA from 1 species